GCAGUGUUCACAUUGCCUCUAGGGACACCUCCAAGUGGCCACUCCUUAGAUGGCCACUGGAGGGGCUUCCUGGCUCAGGGCUGCACAGUAAGCAGCCCUGCCAUUCAGCGUCCCCACACUCUGCAUGGAGAUGCUGAAUUUUCCUCAUAGAGAUGCAUUGACCAAAACGACAUGUGGACCCGCCCCAUGCCGAUUUUAGCCAAUUGUG